rnacentral:rRNA from 1 species
CUACGGGACGCUCCAGUGGGGAAUAUUGCACAAUGGAGGAAACUCUGAUGCAGCAACGCCGCGUGGAGGAUGACACUUUUCGGAGCGUAAACUCCUUUUAUAUAGGAAGAAGAUGACGGUACUAUAUGAAUAAGCGCCGGCUAACUCCGUGCCAGCAGCCGCGGUGAAUACGGAGGGCGCAAGCGUUACUCGGAAUCACUGGGCGUAAAGAGCGUGUAGGCGGAUUAAAAAGUCGGAAGUGAAAUCCUAUAGCUUAACUAUAGAACUGCUUCUGAAACUCUUAAUCUAGAAUAUGGGAGAGGUAGAUGGAAUUUCUGGUGUAGGGGUAAAAUCCGUAGAGAUCAGAAGGAAUACCGAUUGCGAAGGCGAUCUACUAGAACAUUAUUGACGCUGAGACGCGAAAGCGUGGGGAGCAAACAGGAUUAGAUACCCGAGUAGUC